rnacentral:rRNA from 1 species
CAGCCGCCGCGGGAAUACGAAGGGGGCUAGCGUUGUUCGGAAUUACUGGGCGUAAAGCGCACAUAGGCGGAUUGUUAAGUUAGGGGUGAAAUCCCAGGGCUCAACCCUGGAACUGCCUUUAAUACUGGCAAUCUCGAGUCCGAGAGAGGUGAGUGGAAUUCCGAGUGUAGAGGUGAAAUUCGUAGAUAUUCGGAGGAACACCAGUGGCGAAGGCGGCUCACUGGCUCGGUACUGACGCUGAGGUGCGAAAGCGUGGGGAGCAAACAGGAUUAGAUACCCCCGUAGUCCCUGUCUCUUAUAC